CAAAUCUCAGUUCAGAUUGUCAGGCUGCAACUCGCCUGCAUGAAGUCGGAAUUGCUAGUAAUCGUAGGUCAGCAUACUACGGUGAAUACGUUCCCGGGCCUUGUACACACCGCCCGUCAAACCAUGAGAGUUGGCAACACCCGAAGUCGGUAGUCUAACCGCAAGGAGGACGCCGCCGAAGGUGGGGUUGAUGAUUAGGGUUAAGUCGUAACAAGGUACC
rnacentral:rRNA from 1 species